rnacentral:rRNA from 1 species
UACGAGGGGGGCAAAUGUUGUUCGGAAUCACUGGGCGUAAAGGGAGCGUAGGCGGGUGUUUAAGUUAGGUGUUUAAUCCUGGGGCCCAACCCCAGUCGUGCACCUAAAACUGGACAUCUUGAAUAGUGGAGAGGUCAGUGGAAUUGGGGGUGUAGCGGUGGAAUGCGUAGAGAUCCCCAAGAACACCAGUUGCGAAGGCGGCUGACUGGACAAAUAUUGACGCUGAGGCUCGAAAGCAUGGGGAGCAAACAGG